CAUGUCACCUCAGAAAUGACUUAACCUCUGUGUUUCAAGGUCCGUCUUUGGAAAAGGGGGAGAUGUCCAUUUUUCACAGCAUGGAGUUAGCACAGGGAUUACAGAGACCCUGCAGGCAGGGGCGCCUGGGGGCAUCUGUCAGUGAAGCAUCUGCCUUCAUCCCGGGUCAUGAUCUCAGGGUCCUGGGAUCGAGCCCCAUGUUGGGCUCCCUGCUCCAUGGGGAGCCUGCUUCCCUCUCCCUCUGCCCUCCCCCUUGUGCUCUCUUUCUCUCAGAUAAAUUAAAAUGCUACCCGCAAAAAUGCAGCACGGUCCCUCAUGCCAAGGCCACAGUGUCACAUAGUAGAUGCUCAGAAAGUGUCUGUGGGGCAUUGUAUGGGCAGCUGAUGCGCCGCCACGCCGAGCGGCAGGCCGGGGUAGAAGGUCUGAGAUUGUAGGUACAUAGUGUCGCCGUGGUGAAUGGAGUCAGCAGAUGUGAGGGCCACAGAUAGCUGUGACUGUCCCCACUCACGGUGGGCGACUUCGCAGCCACACAGAUGCUACUGUGCACACAGCCCAGCGACCCAGAGGGGGGGCUCUGCAACUGCAGGCCUCACUGUUCCUCAGGGGCCGCAUCUGCGGCCGGAGCCCUGACACCAUAUGUGCGGCCGCCCCAGCACGUGUCGGGUGGCUGCUCGGGGCACAAGCGUCCCUGUGCUGCCAGCGUCACAUCUGUAAGGAAGCCCAGUCGCCUCUCACAGAACUGGGCCAGCUGAACUCUAACCAGAUUCAAGACACAUAACUAGGGAAAGAAAAGCAGCCACGGCAAGUCAGCCCCAAGUUGCUCCCGUCCAGACAGCGGGCACUCGCAGCUUCCCGGCCCUGCUCCCUGGGUUUCAGAGAAAAACAGGCAUCACGCCGUCUUCUCUGGGGUGUUCACCUGCUCCAAGGAAAGAUCUCAGACUUAGAGGGAGGAGGAACCUGGGUUCUACUAAUCAGACGAGAGCAGACUACAGAACUCUGAGCCUCAGUGUCUUGAGCUGUGCAAUGGGGGUGCUAGCGGAAGCCAAGCACAUCUGUCCAGUGUCAGCACCGUGUCUGUCUGCGGAGGUGCUCAGAACAGAUCCGCCAAGUGAAGCUCAGCUCUCGUCUCUGGCCUCAGUGUGGCCCUGACAGCCAUCAGGGAAAACAGCACGAAGCAGAGAUCUGAUUCAUCCAGGUUACCCGUCCUGUUAACUUUGUCUUUUUUUAAAAAAUAUUUCUUCUGGUCUAAAAAAUAUUAUCUUACACAAAUGCUGGCAAAAGUGUUGUGUUUCACUUCA